UCGAGCGGUAGAGAGAAGCUUGCUUCUCUUGAGAGCGGCGGACGGGUGAGUAAUGCCUAGGAAUCUGCCUGGUAGUGGGGGAUAACGUUCGGAAACGGACGCUAAUACCGCAUACGUCCUACGGGAGAAAGCAGGGGACCUUCGGGCCUUGCGCUAUCAGAUGAGCCUAGGUCGGAUUAGCUAGUUGGUGGGGUAAUGGCUCACCAAGGCGACGAUCCGUAACUGGUCUGAGAGGAUGAUCAGUCACACUGGAACUGAGACACGGUCCAGACUCCUACGGGAGGCAGCAGUGGGGAAUAUUGGACAAUGGGCGAAAGCCUGAUCCAGCCAUGCCGCGUGUGUGAAGAAGGUCUUCGGAUUGUAAAGCACUUUAAGUUGGGAGGAAGGGUUGUAGAUUAAUACUCUGCAAUUUUGACGUUACCGACAGAAUAAGCACCGGCUAACUCUGUGCCAGCAGCCGCGGUAAUACAGAGGGUGCAAGCGUUAAUCGGAAUUACUGGGCGUAAAGCGCGCGUAGGUGGUUUGUUAAGUUGGAUGUGAAAUCCCCGGGCUCAACCUGGGAACUGCAUUCAAAACUGACUGACUAGAGUAUGGUAGAGGGUGGUGGAAUUUCCUGUGUAGCGGUGAAAUGCGUA
rnacentral:rRNA from 1 species